rnacentral:misc_RNA from 1 species
GAUGAAGAACGUAGCGAAAUGCGAUACUUGGUGUGAAUUGCAGAAUCCCGUGAACCAUCGAGUCUUUGAACGCAAGUUGCGCCCGAAGCCAUUAGGCCGAGGGCACGCCUGCCUGGGCGUCACACGUCGUUGCCCCCCCAUCUACUCCUUCGGGAUUGCGGGGGGCGGAUGAUGGCCUCCCGUGCGCCUCGUCGCGCGGUUGGCAUAAAUGCCAAGUCCUCGGCGACGCACGCCACGACAAUCGGUGGUUGCGAAACCUCGGUUGCCUGUCGUGUGCGGUCGUCGCGCAUCGAGGGCUCGAAAAAAUUGCCGGGCUCCGGCUCGACUUUCAACGCGACCCCAGGUCAGGCGGGGUUACCCGCUGAAUUUAAGCAUAUCAAUAAGCGGAGGA